GCUCCCCAAAGGCAAGGAUGAGGUAGCCGACCUGAGAGGGUGGUUCGGCACACACUUGGGAUGAGACGGGGGGCCAGACUCUUACGGGAGGCAAGCAGUAGAGGGAAUCUUCCGCAAUGGACGAGAAGUCUGACGGAAGCAAACGACCGCGUGAGUGAUGAAAGGUUUUCGGAUCGUAAAACUCUGUUGUCAGGGAAGAACAAGUACCGGAGUAACUGCCGGUACCUUGACGGUACCUGACCAGAAAGCCACGGCUAACUACGUGCCAGCAGCCGCGGUAAUACGUAGGUGGCAAGCGUUGUCCGGAAUUAUUGGGCGUAAAGGCGCGCGCAGGCGGUUCCUUAAGUCUGAUGUGAAAGCCCCCGGCUCAACCGGGGAGGGUCAUGGAAACUGGGGAACGUGAUGCAGAAGAGAAGA
rnacentral:rRNA from 1 species